CCUACGGGAGGCAGCAGUAGGGAAUCUUCGGCAAUGGACGAAAGUCUGACGGAGCAACGCCGCGUGAGCGAAGAAGGCCUUCGGGUCGUAAAGCUCUGUUGUUAGGGAAGAACUUGUACCGGAGUAACUGCCGGUACCUUGACGGUACCUAACCAGAAAGCCACGGCUAACUACGUGCCAGCAGCCGCGGUAAU
rnacentral:rRNA from 1 species